ACCGGCAGCAAAAACCCUGCAGCCCAAGACCGAUUACUCACUGAAGCUAAGUAGGGCUGAGCCUGGUCAGUACCUGGAUAGGAGACCACAUGGGAAAACUAGGUUGCUGUUGGAA
ensembl:rRNA 5S_rRNA 5S ribosomal RNA